rnacentral:rRNA from 1 species
UACGUAGGGUGCGAGCGUUGUCCGGAAUUAUUGGGCGUAAAGAGCUCGUAGGCGGUCUGUCGCGUCUGCUGUGAAAACCCGAGGCUCAACCUCGGGCCUGCAGUGGGUACGGGCAGACUAGAGUGCGGUAGGGGAGAAUGGAACUCCUGGUGUAGCGGUGGAGUGCGCAGAUAUCAGGAGGAACACCAAUGGCGAAGGCAGGUCUCUGGGCCACUACUGACGCUGGAGAAGCGAAAAGCAUGGGGGAGCGAACAGG